rnacentral:rRNA from 1 species
CGCGAUUCGCCCUUGGUGCAGCAGGCGCGAAAACUUUACAAUGCCGGCAACGGCGAUAAGGGAACCUCGAGUGCCAGGUUACAAAUCUGGCUGUCGUGAUGCCUAAAAAGCAUUGCAUAGCAAGGGCCGGGCAAGACCGGUGCCAGCCGCCGCGGUAACACCGGCGGCUCGAGUGGUAACCGUUAUUAUUGGGUCUAAAGGGUCUGUAGCCGGCCGGGUAAGUCUCUUGGGAAAUCUGGCAGCUUAACUGUCAGGCUUUCAGGAGAUACUGCCUGGCUCGAGGCCGGGAGAGGUGAGAGGUACUUCAGGGGUAGAGGUGAAAUCUUGUAAUCCUUGAAGGACCACCAGUGGCGAAGGCGUCUCACCAGAACGGACCUGACGGCAAGGGACGAAAGCUAGGGGCACGAACCGGAUUAGAUACCCGGGUAGUCCUAGCCGUAAACGAUACUCGCUAGGUGUCGGCCACGGUGCGACCGUGGUCGGUGCCGUAGGGAAGCCGUGAAGCGAGCCACCUGGGAAGUACGGCCGCAAGGCUGAAACUUAAAGGAAUUGGCGGGGGAGCAC